GACGUAGGAUGCAAGCGUUGUCCGGAUUUAUUGGGCGUACAGAGUUCGUAGGCUGUUUGUUAAGUCUGAUGUUAAAGACUGGGGCUCAACCUCGGAAAUGCAUUGGAUACUGGCAGACUGGAGUGCAGUAGAGGCUAGUGGAAUUCCCAGUGUAGCGGUGAAAUGCGUAGAUAUUGGGAAGAACACCGGUGGCGUAGGCAGCCCCCUGGGUUAACACUGACGCUCAGGCACGAAAGCGUGGGGAGCAAACAGG
rnacentral:rRNA from 1 species